rnacentral:misc_RNA from 1 species
CUGAGUUAGGGUCCUCUGGGCCCGACCUCCAACCCUUUGUUAAAACACUUUGUUGCUUUGGCAGGCCCGUCUUUCGGGACCGCCGGGGGCUUUUCUGCCUCUGGUCAGUGCUUGCCAAUAGCCAAUAUCAAAUUCUUCUUUAACGAUGAAGUCUGAUAAUAUAAUUAUAAAUAUAAUUA